rnacentral:rRNA from 1 species
GAAGGGAGCUUGCUCCCGGAUGUUAGCGGCGGACGGGUGAGUAACACGUGGGUAACCUGCCUGUAAGACUGGGAUAACUCCGGGAAACCGGAGCUAAUACCGGAUAGUUCCUUGAACCGCAUGGUUCAAGGAUGAAAGACGGUUUCGGCUGUCACUUACAGAUGGACCCGCGGCGCAUUAGCUAGUUGGUGGGGUAAUGGCUCACCAAGGCGACGAUGCGUAGCCGACCUGAGAGGGUGAUCGGCCACACUGGGACUGAGACACGGCCCAGACUCCUACGGGAGGCAGCAGUAGGGAAUCUUCCGCAAUGGACGAAAGUCUGACGGAGCAACGCCGCGUGAGUGAUGAAGGUUUUCGGAUCGUAAAGCUCUGUUGUUAGGGAAGAACAAGUGCGAGAGUAACUGCUCGCACCUUGACGGUACCUAACCAGAAAGCCACGGCUAACUACGUGCCAGCAGCCGCGGUAAUACGUAGGUGGCAAGCGUUGUCCGGAAUUAUUGGGCGUAAAGGGCUCGCAGGCGGUUUCUUAAGUCUGAUGUGAAAGCCCCCGGCUCAACCGGGGAGGGUCAUUGGAAACUGGGAAACUUGAGUGCAGAAGAGGAGAGUGGAAUUCCACGUGUAGCGGUGAAAUGCGUAGAGAUGUGGAGGAACACCAGUGGCGAAGGCGACUCUCUGGUCUGUAACUGACGCUGAGGAGCGAAAGCGUGGGGAGCGAACAGGAUUAGAUACCCUGGUAGUCCACGCCGUAAACGAUGAGUGCUAAGUGUUAGGGGGUUUCCGCCCCUUAGUGCUGCAGCUAACGCAUUAAGCACUCCGCCUGGGGAGUACGGUCGCAAGACUGAAACUCAAAGGAAUUGACGGGGGGCCCGCACAAGCGGUGGAGCAUGUGGGUUUAAUUCGAAGCAACGCGAAGAACCUUACCAGGUCUUGACAU